GCUUGGAGGGUUGCAAGUGUCAUUCCAGUGAGGAAGGUGGAAGGGAAAUGUAGGAAAUGCCGAAGGACCACAAGCCACUGGGAGCCAUGGGGGCCACUGUCAUUCCCCUGUCCCUUAGACUAUAAGGGUGAUUGCUAUAGAGGCCACCGAGCAAAUGGCUUACUGUCCUCUGGUUUAGUUUUAACUUUAGAUUCAACUCAUUCAAGUUCCUUUGGGCCCGAAAAAUCACAAGAAUGAAGCGAGGCUUUAGCCGGCCUGGCAUCAGUCAUCUGCCUCCUGCAUAGGCUGGGGUUCAGCAGAGCACAGCAAUGACUUAUUUCACCUUCAGUGACUCAAAAGUAGGGGAGGAAAAGGAAGAGACAAUUCAACACUGCAGAAAUGACCACUGACAGCUGUAAGCAAAUGCCUGAAUGUUCCCUUCUAGGCAAGAUAGUACUGCUUUCUUUUACACAGCAUCAGAUCUCAUUAUGUUCUUUUGAUAACUGAACACUACUUGGUAACAUGGAGAAUAUAUUAAAAAUAUUCAUUAGAGAA